rnacentral:rRNA from 1 species
GACGAACGCUGGCGGCGUGCCUAAUACAUGCAAGUUGAGCGCUGAAGGUUGGUACUUGUACCAACUGGAUGAGCAGCGAACGGGUGAGUAACGCGUGGGGAAUCUGCCUUUGAGCGGGGGACAACAUUUGGAAACGAAUGCUAAUACCGCAUAAAAACUUUAAACACAAGUUUUAAGUUUGAAAGAUGCAAUUGCAUCACUCAAAGAUGAUCCCGCGUUGUAUUAGCUAGUUGGUGAGGUAAAGGCUCACCAAGGCGAUGAUACAUAGCCGACCUGAGAGGGUGAUCGGCCCCAUUGGGACUGAGACACGGCCCAAACUCCUACGGGAGGCAGCAGUAGGGAAUCUUCGGCAAUAGACGAAAGUCUGACCGAGCAACGCCGCGUGAGUGAAGAAGGUUGUCGGAUCGUAAAACUCUGUUGGUAGAGAAGAACGUUGGUGAGAGUGGAAAGCUCAUCAAGUGACGGUAACUACCCAGAAAGGGACGGCUAACUACGUG